rnacentral:rRNA from 1 species
UUAAGCGACUAAGCGUACACGGUGGAUGCCCUGGCAGUCAGAGGCGAUGAAGGACGUGCUAAUCUGCGAUAAGCGUCGGUAAGGUGAUAUGAACCGUUAUAACCGGCGAUUUCCGAAUGGGGAAACCCAGUGUGAUUCGUCACACUAUCAUUAACUGAAUCCAUAGGUUAAUGAGGCGAACCGGGGGAACUGAAACAUCUAAGUACCCCGAGGAAAAGAAAUCAACCGAGAUUCCCCCAGUAGCGGCGAGCGAACGGGGAGCAGCCCAGAGCCUGAAUCAGUGUGUGUGUUAGUGGAAGCGUCUGGAAAGGCGCGCGAUACAGGGUGACAGCCCCGUACACAAAAAUGCACAUGCUGUGAGCUCGAUGAGUAGGGCGGGACACGUGGUAUCCUGUCUGAAUAUGGGGGGACCAUCCUCCAAGGCUAAAUACUCCUGACUGACCGAUAGUGAACCAGUACCGUGAGGGAAAGGCGAAAAGAACCCCGGCGAGGGGAGUGAAAAAGAACCUGAAACCGUGUACGUACAAGCAGUGGGAGCACGCUUAGGCGUGUGACUGCGUACCUUUUGUAUAAUGGGUCAGCGACUUAUAUUCUGUAGCAAGGUUAACCGAAUAGGGGAGCCGAAGGGAAACCGAGUCUUAACUGGGCGUUAAGUUGCAGGGUAUAGACCCGAAACCCGGUGAUCUAGCCAUGGGCAGGUUGAAGGUUGGGUAACACUAACUGGAGGACCGAACCGACUAAUGUUGAAAAAUUAGCGGAUGACUUGUGGCUGGGGGUGAAAGGCCAAUCAAACCGGGAGAUAGCUGGUUCUCCCCGAAAGCUAUUUAGGUAGCGCCUCGUGAAUUCAUCUCCGGGGGUAGAGCACUGUUUCGGCAAGGGGGUCAUCCCGACUUACCAACCCGAUGCAAACUGCGAAUACCGGAGAAUGUUAUCACGGGAGACACACGGCGGGUGCUAACGUCCGUCGUGAAGAGGGAAACAACCCAGACCGCCAGCUAAGGUCCCAAAGUCAUGGUUAAGUGGGAAACGAUGUGGGAAGGCCCAGACAGCCAGGAUGUUGGCUUAGAAGCAGCCAUCAUUUAAAGAAAGCGUAAUAGCUCACUGGUCGAGUCGGCCUGCGCGGAAGAUGUAACGGGGCUAAACCAUGCACCGAAGCUGCGGCAGCGACGCUGAUGCGUUGUUGGGUAGGGGAGCGUUCUGUAAGCCUGCGAAGGUGUGCUGUGAGGCAUGCUGGAGGUAUCAGAAGUGCGAAUGCUGACAUAAGUAACGAUAAAGCGGGUGAAAAGCCCGCUCGCCGGAAGACCAAGGGUUCCUGUCCAACGUUAAUCGGGGCAGGGUGAGUCGACCCCUAAGGCGAGGCCGAAAGGCGUAGUCGAUGGGAAACAGGUUAAUAUUCCUGUACUUGGUGUUACUGCGAAGGGGGGACGGAGAAGGCUAUGUUGGCCGGGCGACGGUUGUCCCGGUUUAAGCGUGUAGGCUGGUUUUCCAGGCAAAUCCGGAAAAUCAAGGCUGAGGCGUGAUGACGAGGCACUACGGUGCUGAAGCAACAAAUGCCCUGCUUCCAGGAAAAGCCUCUAAGCAUCAGGUAACAUCAAAUCGUACCCCAAACCGACACAGGUGGUCAGGUAGAGAAUACCAAGGCGCUUGAGAGAACUCGGGUGAAGGAACUAGGCAAAAUGGUGCCGUAACUUCGGGAGAAGGCACGCUGAUAUGUAGGUGAAGCGACUUGCUCGUGGAGCUGAAAUCAGUCGAAGAUACCAGCUGGCUGCAACUGUUUAUUAAAAACACAGCACUGUGCAAACACGAAAGUGGACGUAUACGGUGUGACGCCUGCCCGGUGCCGGAAGGUUAAUUGAUGGGGUCAGCGCAAGCGAAGCUCUUGAUCGAAGCCCCGGUAAACGGCGGCCGUAACUAUAACGGUCCUAAGGUAGCGAAAUUCCUUGUCGGGUAAGUUCCGACCUGCACGAAUGGCGUAAUGAUGGCCAGGCUGUCUCCACCCGAGACUCAGUGAAAUUGAACUCGCUGUGAAGAUGCAGUGUACCCGCGGCAAGACGGAAAGACCCCGUGAACCUUUACUAUAGCUUGACACUGAACAUUGAGCCUUGAUGUGUAGGAUAGGUGGGAGGCUUUGAAGUGUGGACGCCAGUCUGCAUGGAGCCGACCUUGAAAUACCACCCUUUAAUGUUUGAUGUUCUAACGUUGACCCGUAAUCCGGGUUGCGGACAGUGUCUGGUGGGUAGUUUGACUGGGGCGGUCUCCUCCUAAAGAGUAACGGAGGAGCACGAAGGUUGGCUAAUCCUGGUCGGACAUCAGGAGGUUAGUGCAAUGGCAUAAGCCAGCUUGACUGCGAGCGUGACGGCGCGAGCAGGUGCGAAAGCAGGUCAUAGUGAUCCGGUGGUUCUGAAUGGAAGGGCCAUCGCUCAACGGAUAAAAGGUACUCCGGGGAUAACAGGCUGAUACCGCCCAAGAGUUCAUAUCGACGGCGGUGUUUGGCACCUCGAUGUCGGCUCAUCACAUCCUGGGGCUGAAGUAGGUCCCAAGGGUAUGGCUGUUCGCCAUUUAAAGUGGUACGCGAGCUGGGUUUAGAACGUCGUGAGACAGUUCGGUCCCUAUCUGCCGUGGGCGCUGGAGAACUGAGGGGGGCUGCUCCUAGUACGAGAGGACCGGAGUGGACGCAUCACUGGUGUUCGGGUUGUCAUGCCAAUGGCACUGCCCGGUAGCUAAAUGCGGAAGAGAUAAGUGCUGAAAGCAUCUAAGCACGAAACUUGCCCCGAGAUGAGUUCUCCCUGACUCCUUGAGAGUCCUGAAGGAACGUUGAAGACGACGACGUUGAUAGGCCGGGUGUGUAAGCGCAGCGAUGCGUUGAGCUAACCGGUACUAAUGAACCGUGAGGCUUAACCUU